rnacentral:tRNA from 1 species
CAGGGCAUAGCUAAAUAGUAGAGCACCUCCCUUACACCGAGAAGAUGUCCGUGCAAGUCGGACUGUCCUGA